AGAGCGAUCCAGAGUCUCAGGGGGCUGGCUGGUCACUGAAGUACUGCCUGGCCAGACCAUUUAAAACAUUCUUGAACAACAAAAGUAUAAAUACCGCGUCUGGACCAGAACAAACGAUACAGAGAAUUUUAAUGCCAAACUUGGAACAACAAACAAAAUGUUUCUUUGGGAAUUUCUGACAGAGGAGCACGCCGUAUAAGGAUUUUUAAAAUUGUUUGUGUGUUUUUUGUUUUUUGUUUUUAAUUGUUUGUGUUUUUUUUAGUAGUCGGGGCAAGUUUCAACCAGGAUAUGAAAAUGAACUGGAAGCAAACAACCUCAAAGGCAGAAAUGAGACUCUCCUUGGAAAUCUUGCAUAAUCCACUGUCUUGUGGAAUUUCAAGAGGGCUUCGAAAUAAGGAGAAAAUAAAUGCCAACUCUCCUAAGCUUGCCAGGAAAGGAAAGGUCUGAAUUUCUCCUUCUACUGAAGAAGGAGGAGCACCCUCCCCACCCCUGUGAGGCUCCACCACCUUCCCCACCAGUACCAGGAGAGGCAGCUGAUGGGUGGGCCACCUCCAAGACAACAAUGACUUAAUUGUGAUGUGUGAUGCGGGCUUCGGGAACCUGCUGGCCAGGCAGCGGGACCUGUGAGGCUUGAGGGUGCUGGCUGCGUGUCAGAAGGAGAAGGUCCAAAAGCUGAGAGGCCAGACAUCAGAGAGGCUCGAGUCUGUGGUCCUGGAUGUCACCAAGACAGAGAGCAUCACUGGAGCACCCAGUGGGUGAAGGAGUAUGUGAGGACAGAGGUCUUGCACAUGUUGGUGCAAUGGAACGGAUGAGAGUUGGAGUCUGGUUACCUGCAAAACAUCCUGGCUCCAGUCUGUGCGACCUCAGGAUUCAGUUUCAGCUGCAUGCCACAGACGCCAAAAUUAACAGUGGAUUACACAAGACAGAUAUUUCUUUCUUCCCUUGUGGAAAAACCUGGCAUGGUUUGCUGCUUUGCUGAUAAUGCUGCGGUGUCUUUCUGUCUUCUACCUGAAAUGAAGCCUGCCCCCUCAGGCCGCAACGAUGCUAAUUUUCCGGGCAGCUCUGCCAGUCAAGCCUGUUGAGCUCCAGUGGGGAAUGGGAGGGAAUGGCCCCAGGCAAGGAGGUCACUAAUUCCUGCUGAUCUCAUUUGAAGAGCUAAAGGUUUUUCAUGAAUAAAUGAUUCUCAAUUUGUUGUUUA